AUGAACGCUGGCGGCGUGCCUAAUACAUGCCAGUCGAGCGAACGGACGAGAAGCUUGCUUCUCUGAUGUUAGCGGCGGACGGGUGAGUAACACGUGGAUAACCUACCUAUAAGACUGGGAUAACUUCGGGAGACCGGAGCUAAUCCCGGAUAAUAUUUUGAACCGCAUGGUUCAAAAGUGAAAGACGGUCUUGCUGUCACUUAUAGAUGGAUCCGCGCUGCAUUAGCUAGUUGGUAAGGUAACGGCUUACCAAGGCAACGAUGCAUAGCCGACCUGAGAGGGGGAUCGGCCACACUGGAACUGAGACACGGUCCAGACUCCUACGGGAGGCAGCAGUAGGGAAUCUUCCGCAAUGGGCGAAAGCCUGACGGAGCAACGCCGCGUGAGUGAUGAAGGUCUUCGGAUCGUAAAACUCUGUUAUUAGGGAAGAACAUAUGUGUAAGUAACUGUGCACAUCUUGACGGUACCUAAUCAGAAAGCCACGGCUAACUACGU
rnacentral:rRNA from 1 species